CAAGAUAUAGCUUAACUAAAGCAUCUCGCUUACACCGAGAACAUGCCCGUGAAACCCGGACUAUUUUGA
rnacentral:tRNA from 1 species